ACCCAUCAUGCGUUCGAAACGCCCCUCUACAAUUUAUAUUCUUCUUCAACUAUUGCCGACGCUUUCUUCUUCUUCUUGCCGAUCACCAACCCAACGAUCACUGCUUCUCAAAACUCACAAAAGCUGGUUCUAACUUCUACCGGCCCCUCUCUGCUAUGGCAGCUGCGGCUUCAGCGGCGGCGCCUGAGAUAAUUGAACUACCUCGACCACGAGACAAGCUCCCAACCAACCUAUCUCCAGACUCUGCUUCUUGCUACCCACCCGAAUCAUCUUCUUCCUCAGCUGACCGCAUAUCCGAUACCCACGAGUCUUCUUCUUCACCAGACGGUUUUCACGAGGACGUCGAAAUUCAGUCAUCUGCAUUAUUAAGAAGUGAAGAAUAUCGGCAGUUGUUCCGCCUGCCAUUGGAUGAAGUCCUUAUUGAAGACUUCAAUUGCGCUUUCCAAGAAAACAUACUAAUUCAGGGCCACAUGUAUCUGUUCGUGCACUAUAUCUGCUUUUACUCCAACAUCUUUGGGUUUGAGACGAAGAAAAUAAUCCCAUUUCGAGAAAUAAUAGCUGUACGUAAAGCAAAGACGGCAGGGAUCUUUCCUAAUGCCAUUGAAAUUUGUGACGGGGAGAAAAAGUACUUCUUUGCAUCUUUUCUAUCCCGUGAUGAGGCCUUUAAUCUCAUUAAUGAUGGCUGGUUGCAACAUGCUAAAGGUACCGAAGCAACUAUGACAAAACAGAAAUCGAUAAAUGAAUCUAGCAGACAAGAAAUUGGCAUCCUUGGUGUUGAAAAGGCCAAGGAGCUGGAUCCUUCAGAUUCUUCUGACAGGAGUAUGGAUACUCCUAUUCUUAAUGUUUCGGUGGUUCAAGCCAAUGUUGAAGAGGUAAAUGUGCCAACCACGCUACCACCAGAACCUAUUGUUGCCAUUCAGGAACCAGAGCCAAUUCUUGAUACUCAUGCUUCAACUUCAAGAGAGACAUUAACGUGGAGGCCGGAAGACAGAGAUGCUCCCAAGGUACCAGAUUAUUAUACCCAAGUUGCAGAAUCAAAGUUUCCGAUAAACGUGGAAGAUUUCUUUAGUUUCUAUUUUUCCGACAAUGCAGUUGAUUUUGUUUCUUCAUAUCAUGAAAAAUGUGGAGAUAAAGAGCUUAAAUGUUCUCUGUGGCGUCACGAUGACAUGUUUGGGCAUAUGCGUGAUAUAUCAUUUCAGCAUCCGAUAAAAAUAUAUUUUGGUGCAAAGUUUGGUGGCUGCCGGGAGACUCAGAAAUUUCGAGUUUAUCGAGACAGGUUUGAAAAUCAUUUGGUCAUCGAGGUAACCCAAGAAGUUAGUGAGGUUCCAUAUUCAGAUUAUUUCCGUGUUGAGGCACAUUGGGAGGUGAAGAAAGAUGUUGAUGAUAAAUCAAAUAAUGGCUGCAUCUUGAGGGUAUAUGUGAAUGUGGCAUUUUCAAAAAGAACGGUUUGGAAAGGGAAAAUAGUGCAGUCUACUCUUGAAGAAUGCCGAGAGGCUUACGGACUGUGGAUUCAGAUGGCAAAGGAAUUAUUGAAGCAGAAACUUACAGGUUCUGAAGAGGGAACAAGUGGUAGUACAUCACAGAGUGGUAAAGAUCAUCAUAUUGAAAAAGAAAGAAAUAAUAACAAAUCAUUGGAAAAGUCAAAUGAGAAGAAUGACCAAAGAAGAUCAACUGCAUCACAAUAUUCCACUGACGUUGAUCAACAAGCCAAAAACUCUAUUCAAGGAGUCAAUUCUACUUCGGCUGCUUCUUGGUUAAGAGAAUACAUAAAGAAGCUUUGGAUUGUGUUACGGAGUCAAAAUUAUCUUCCUCUUGCCCUAGUUAUCACUUUUGCUGUGAUUUUUUUUAUGCAGUUGAGCAUAGUUAUGUUAUUAUCCAGACCCCAACACAUCCAUGUGAGUUCUCCCGACUAUGGAAGGGGUCUAAAAUUCAGUGGUGGAAGAUCUUCUGAUGCUACGGCAUGGUUGGAAAAGCGAAUGCACCACCUUAAGGAUGAGAUGUACAUGGUUGAGGCUCGGCUAGAAAUGAUGCGACGCGAGCAUGCCCAAUUGAAAGCACAACUAAGAGAGCUUGAGGAAUUAAGUUAAAAGUGAUUGGAAAUAAUGUAACUAAGGGGAAGUUAAGCAAGAACUGUAGUAUGUGGAAACUUUGAAUGGAGGGUGUUAAGGCCAAGGAAUUCAAACGAAGAAAGUCUAAGGUGUGAAGUUGUGAACUCUACUACUUGUUUGGUUCAAAAAGUUUGUAGAUCCUGACUAAAAAAAUCAAUCAAUUUUAUGUUGCAUUAAA